rnacentral:rRNA from 1 species
CAGCAGCCACGGGAAUACGGAGGGUGCAAGCGUUGUCCGGAUUUAUUGGGUUUAAAGGGUGCGCAGGCGGGGGGGUCAGUCCGCGGUGAAAGACGAUCGCUCAACGAUUGCAGUGCCGUGGAUACUGCCCUUCUUGAAUCUGGUUGAGGCCGGUGGAAUUGACCGUGUAGCGGUGAAAUGCGUUGAGAUCGGAAAGAACACCAACGGCGAAAGCACUCUGCUGGGCCGACACUGACACUGAGAGACGAAAGCUAGGGGAGCAAAUGGGAUUAGAUACCCGAGUAGUCCCUGUCUCUUAUAC